AACUUGGUGUAACAAAGGAUUUGUGAUGUUGUCUAAAUUGAAAAAGUGACUCACAGAGUUUACCUGCUACAGUUGAUGUGUCAAUGAAUUUGGCAUGUGUUGCUUUAUAUACUGUUCAGAUGUAUUUCCGUAGGAUAUUUCCUUAUUCUUCUGCCGUGAAAUUUGCCCUUUCAACUGUGUUGGCAACUGCAGGACAUGUUGCAGUGGUUGACUAUGAGAUGAAGAAAGACCAACAUCCGCCACAGCUGGGUAAAAGAAGCAACAAUGUUUAUUGGAAAUAAAUUCAUUUUUGUGCUUUCACUGCCUGCACCAGAGGUAUCUAAAGGACCUGUGAUGACAAAAUAUGGUGAUGAGAUGGAAUAAACAAUAGUUUUAAACAACCAUGUGUAUCUACUGUAUAUAACUAAAGCUUUUCUGAAGGUGUACUUGAUAUUCAGACAAUUUAUUGACUACAGAGAGCGUGCUGGAUGUGAGAUAGUACCUACUGUAUUUAAUUGCAUCCCAGUGUUUUUUUUUCAUCUCCAUUUCAGCAGUACAUCACAUAAAUGAAGUGUCUUUUUUUCAGUUUCAUCCUUUGCGGAGCUUUUGAAUUUCAUAACAGCAUUACUGUGUGGAUAAACAGAUGAGUUUCCCGAAUCAGAGGUCAGGAAUUAAUUUGGGUUUUUAAGAGGAAUCUGAUGUUAAGCUUGUGAUCCGGUAUUAUUAUUUGGAUGUGUUUGUUUGGCAUGCAACAGAAUUAACACUGCAGUGCUAAAAACCAGCCACUAGUUGACUGUAUACAUCAUAUGGCUUUGUAUUACACUCACUGGUGGGUCAACCAAACCAGAAUUCUUUUUUUCUCUCGAAAUUAUACACUGAUAAUUUAAAUCAUGUCUGCCUUGGAGUACAGAGAGCAGAUCAUCAUGGAUGGAAA